AUUGAACGCUGGCGGCAGGCCUAACACAUGCAAGUCGAACGAGUGGCGGACGGGUGAGUAAUGUCUGGGAAACUGCCUGAUGGAGGGGGAUAACUACUGGAAACGGUAGCUAAUACCGCAUACCAUCAGAUGUGCCCAGAUGGGAUUAGCUGGUUGGUGGAGUAACGGCCCGCCAAGGCGACGAUCCCUAGCUGGUCUGGGCGGAUGACCAGCCACACUUGAACUGAUACACGGUCCCGACGCCUACGGAGUGCAGCAGUGGGGAAUAGUGCACAAUGGGCGCAAGCCUGAUGCAGCCAGGCCGCGUGUAUGAAGAAGGCCUUCGGGUUGUAAAGUACUUUCAGCGGUGAGGCGUUACCCGCAGAAGAAGCACCGGCUAACGCCGUGCCAGCAGCCGCGGUAAUUC
rnacentral:rRNA from 1 species